AUGGCGUCGACGCCGACUGGCGGCGUCCAGAUCCGGUGCUGUGGUGCCCGGAUCCUGUCCCCCAACGACGGGCGGCGGCGUCCUGCUCGGCGGCAAGUUUUGGCGGUGGGUUUGGGCGGUGACGACCAGGCGGGAGACGUUGCCGGAGCUAGCUCCGAUAGCCGAGCACGGAGGCGCGGCCGGACGACGGGUGUGGCGGUGGAGGUGCUGCGAGAGCCGGUGGUGACGUCGGCGAUGCGGGAGGAGGCAACGACGUCUCUAGCUAGAUCUAGCUGGCGGCGGCGGCGACUGCCUAUGGCAGCAGUGACGGUGGCGACGGCUGUGGCGGCAUCGACUGCGGCGGUUGGCUGGCGAGGCAACGGUCGUGGUGGUCGAGGCGUCGUGGAGGCGGUUGUGCAGCCUCGUGGGUGGCGAGGCCUGCUGUGCAGGCGUCGUGGAGGCCGGCGGCGUGUGGUUGUCGUGGAGGCCAGCGUCGUGCGGCAGCGGGAGGGCGUCAUGGAGGCCGGCGGCGGUGUGGAGUCGCGACCGGCGACAUCGGGUGCUGGUGGCUGCAGGCUGCGAUGGCGGACGGCUUGUGGCGUUGGCCGUGGCGACCGUGGACAUGGCUGCAGUGGAGGAGGUGAGGAUGGUGACGGCGAGGUGGCUGGGCAUUCGGCAGCAGCGGCUGCGGUGGCGGUGACCACGGUCACCGGAGGCAUGGCGGCUUCGGACGGCUAGCCGAGGAUGU
rnacentral:lncRNA from 1 species